AUUGAACGCUGGCGGCAGGCCUAACACAUGCAAGUCGCACGGGCUCGCGGACGGGUGAGUAAUGUCUGGGAAUCUGCCUGGUAGUGGGGGAUAACGUCCGGAAACGGGCGCUAACACCGCAUACUCUCAUAUGAGCCUAGGUCGGAUUAGCUAGUUGGUGGGGUAAAGGCCUACCAAGGAGACGAUCCGUAACUGGUUUGAGAGGAUGACCAGUCACACUGGAACUGAGACACGGGCCAGACUCCGACGGGAGGCAGCAGUGGGGAAUAUUGGACAAUGGGAGAAAGCCUGAUCCAGCCAUGCCGCGUGUGUGAAGAAGGUCUUCGGAUUGUAAAGCACUUUAAGUUGGGAGGCGUUACCAACAGAAGAAGCACCGGCUAACUCCGUGCGAGCAGCCGCGGUAAUAC
rnacentral:rRNA from 1 species